AUAUCUUGUAUUGAAAGAGGAGAGAUGAGCUUAGAUAUUCUAAUGAUUGAGAAGAAUUUCACUUUUUCAAAAUUAAUGAAAAAAGGAAUAUUGAUUGUUGAACCUGUUCGUUUGUCUGUAAAAAACGACGGCUAACUUAUUAUAUAUAGAACCAUCGGGGUUUCAUUGGUUCAUAAAAAUAAACAAAAAAUAAGUAAAAGAUCAAAAAAAAAAGCUAUAUUUAUUAAAAAAAAAAAAAAUAAAAUUUCUAU